rfam:Streptomyces sp. CB01580 scaffold3, whole genome shotgun sequence.
UCCGAGCGGACGCCGAGUCCUGCCGCCGCCCGGAUGACUGGUCGACAGAAGUGGAUCGGCAGGAGUGGAGGACCCAAGCACAACGGGUCGACCGGAACAUCGGUCGUCCCUCGGGGUGAAGCCGCCGAGCGCGGCCGGGCACCUUCGCCAGCCCGAACCCGACAGGUCAUCCUUCACAGGCGGCUGACGAAGGGUUG